CCAUGUUUUUAGUUACUUUAGUUACUUUAAAAGCCCCCAGUACAGUUUGUGUGUAUUUUGCAGUGAAGCAGUGAAGGAUUCCACUGAAGAGCUGACUGGAGGACGGAGACGGUCGCCAUGUGUACGAAGGUGUCGUCUGUCUCCUCUUACAGGAAGAUGUCCAUUGCAGAAGAUGUAAGAUGAGCCAAGGACUGGACCCACCCAAAUCAGGAGGCAGAGUCAUAAUACAAGUGUUUACUGCUUGGCUGUGCUGUCCUUUUGUCUGUUUGGCUCAGAGGAAGGGGACACGGCCUCAGGCAGCAGCUCAAACACUGCUGAUAACACCUCCACCUCUGCAGCAGCAGACUGAACUCAAACCUGCUCCAUCAUCUCAUCUUUGUAGACCUCCAUUUACAAAGUACCAACAAGUCAACGGAGCUGCCCUCAGAUUCAGACCUCAGCACCACCCAGUGACAGCAGACAGAUCAUCCAACAUGUUCACAUGUUAACUGCAACAUUAACUGAUGAAAACAGUACAAAGGUUAAAGUACCACAUGUGCUGUAGUGAAAGCUGCAGCUGUUUUAUUGAUAAAGUUAAAGACAAAAAAGGAUUAAUCACCCCUGUAACUGUGUCACUAU